GCGUGUCAGCUCCCCAACCAGGUCCCAGCACAGCAGCAGGCCUUAAAAGGGGCUCCCGACACAGGUGGCGUGAGGAGGCAGAAUGGACCCCUCCUGGGAGGGUGUGUAUGUACGUGUAUGUAUCUACGUGGUUUCGUGCCACCAAAAAUCAAAAACUAAGCACCACUGACACACGACGGCAGGAAGGGCAACGGGCCCAGACAGGACUUCCAGGGGGAAUGUGGAAGAGGCUGGGCAAGCUCCUCAGGACACGGGAAAGGCUGAGUGUAGCCCAGCUCAGGGUGGCGGGGAUCACCUUGUCCUUCUCGUGGGAGCUGAGGUCUAGCAGAACAUGCAGGUACUGGAACUGGCGGGACGGGCGCUUGAAGAUCAGGUCUCGAAGAGUAGACAUGCCCAGGUAAGUGCGACUCUGUGGCAGGAAGGAGGGAAACCAGCAAGGGGGAUUUCUCCCUUGCCUCCCUCCAGAUCUAAUACUGGGCAAGAAAGGACCUGCCCCCUCACUGCAUCCCCUGACACUAGGUCUAGGCCAUGUGCCUCCUCUCUUCAGGUCCCCGUCCCUCCGCAGGGUUCCUGCAUGCAUCUAUCUAGGUGCUAGGGGCUGAGGGAGAUCUGCCCUCACCUCAUCCUCGCAGUACUUGCGAAUCACCUCCAGGGCGCUCUCAGUGAUCAGCGGUGCCUCUAGCACAACCUUGGUGAAGAUCCUGCCAGAGAGGAAGGGAGGGGGAGUGGCUGCAGACAAGCUUCCCAGUCCUGCUGGAGCUGAGCCGGCAGGGCUGCUCCUCACAUACAGCUCGUUCAACCCCCCGGCUAGAGAGUUCUGGAGGCCGCUGUGUGGAGAAUGGAUAGAUAAGCAGGAGGUCAAGGACAAGGAGGAAGCUACAGAAGCAAUUCAGGCGAGAGACGGGGCUGGAGAGGUCAACCUGUGAUACAAGCCCACGAGGCAGGCGCUGUUAUUUAUGAAAAUGGAGGCCCAGAGGGGGAGUGACACCGAUCACUUAGAGGGCAAGCAGCAGAGCCGGGAACAAGCCCGGGGAGUGUGCCCCAGAGCCCACACUGCAUCUGCCUCGUAUGCGCCUCCAGAAGGCCGGAGAGCAGGCGGAUAAGGCAGUCCUCGUACUUGUCCAGGGUGCCCGAGGCACCAGCUGCCAGGUAGGCAUUGUACUCCUGGUAGAGCCAAGCGAAGGCCAAGUCCAGGCGGGCCCGCAC